rnacentral:lncRNA from 1 species
GAUGAUGCUGCAGGUAGCAAUCAAACCAAAGAAGAAGAAAACAAUUGCAGAAAUAAAAAACACCGUUCACCAAAUAAUAUUUGUGGGGCAAAAAGUAACGUCAUCACUUGUCCGAUCGUAGGAUUUGUCAAAUAAAUAUCAGUACAUUCCCAUUUAGUAUUCGGCGAACGUUGCCUGGCCUGUCGGCCUGACUGCAGUUCAGACACAGAAUGACAAUGCACAGGGUGUGGGGGAACGGACUGACUAAUUCUAAGAUCGCCUAAGCUUUGCCCCGGCACGUCUAUUUCUGGUGAAAAUCUAUGGCUCAAGGUGGACAUCUUUUUACUCCUUCCACUUUCCUUUGGCCGCAAAGAAACUGAGUUGAAAUUGCAUGCUUGAAAAAAUUAAUUAUAAAUACAUGUAUAUCUAGAUAUGUAUGUAAAUCAUUUCUCUCAUAAAUUUCGAGCUCAACUUCCGUGCACUGACUGCUUAAGCUAAGCAAAAUUUGCUGCACUGAUCUCAUCCCAAUCUAAUCACACAACUAAAUAUAGAUUCAAUGCCCGUAAACAUGAGUUGUUUUUCUUUAACUCUGCUGCCUUUUAACGUGGUGGAAUCUACAUUCGACUUCUUUGCCAAAAACUUCGUGAGACGUUGCUUGUCAGCCAUAGCCAAUAACAUCUUGGGAAGGUAGAGGUGGGGGGGCCGGUCCGAAAAUAAAGUUGGCAACAUCAGCUGAGCUCCCUUAAAGCUAAGUUACCCUUCUUACUUGUUGCCUGCUAUCCAAAAGAUUGAUCCAUACCAGUCUGGAUAAUGUACUGUACGCUGCAGCUAGUUAUAACUAAAUUUAAAUGUUCUUUUUUUUUUAAAUUGGCGCGCCAACAAAUAUUUGGCUUUUAAAUGUGAUGUGGAAUCGAGAACGACGCCCAACCAUGAUGUAUCGCGAACGUCACCAGGUUUUACAUUUGAGGAGCAAAAUACCGAAUACUACCUCGACUAUGCGGACGUUCAAGACUCAUUCGAAGAAGCAGAAAACCGAGAUUGCAGAUUUGCAAGGUAAAUAGGCUGGAACUGGUUUCGCCAAUACCACUAGUCCACGAGCAGCACCUACCGAUUGUCUAAGGCGAGCAGAUCAACGUCUGUUGUAAUCGCCGACCUGCCACACACUGACAUUUCUCCAGAGAAUUCAAUCGACAUGCUAGUCAAAACAUUGGGUAGUAUGCUACACCAGUAGCUUAUGAAUAACCCUUUUGAUAAUGCAAACGCAUCUUAACUUAUUUGAAAGUGUUUUAGUUCUCCAUGAUAUGCUGAUUCAGAAUGCUAGUGAUCGCAAUAUGCAUUUUGCAAAAAGCUAAGAAGCAUCCGAUUGGUUUUUUCAAUAUCAAGAACUGUUGAUGUCCUUGUCAACUUUAGAUGUUAGAUAACUUAAUAAGAAUUAAACAAUAGCCGGGAGACCAGUUUAUUUAUAAUCCUACUGUAAUACCCGUAGUCUAUACUUCGGGCGAUAUAUGUUUAGCGAUGUUCGACCCAAUUUUUUUUUUGGUUUUCGUUGAUCCGUAUACGAGAAUCGCCCAUGGCGGUUCGUGACAUCUACUGUAGAAAUGUUAUACUUAACUUCGGCAUUUUUGCAAAAUUCGGGGUUAACACACAAGAUUAGCAAAACAUUAAUUUCAAUUAAUUAGUACAAAAAAAAAGUACGAUCUGCGUAACACAGCAACUGUUUGCUUUACAUGAAAAGAUAUCCAGAUAACAAAAAAGAGAUAUAAAAUAAAUGCUUGAACAUUAAAUUGCCUCUUCCUCGCGACGAUUAGGAUCCGCCAUCCUAUUAAUAAUGCAAUAAACAACACUUGAAAUAAAACGUUUGAUUUAAAAUAAAUGCUAACAAACUUGAAAAUGGAUAGGCCAUCCAUAUUGGUGAGCUGUUGUUUCUCCAAACCGAGUGGUGUGAGAAAAAUGAAUUGGCGACCCGAAUUUUCUCUGGCUUCGGUUAUCAACAAAUCCAUACUGAUGGAACGGUUAACAUGAUCCUGGAGAAAGAAAUGGGAAAAAGAAAUAGAAAAGAAUCAAUACUUUCUUAAGCAAAAUUUUAAAUUAGGGCGAUGAACAUUGUAAAGCAAAACAGCCAUUUACCAUGAAAACGUCAAACUCAUCGAGGAUUCUGAAUGGGCUUUCGAUGGCAUCCCACAAUGAUAAGAUGAAACAGACCGUGGCGAACGAUCGCUCUCCGCCGCUUAAGGAACGAAUAUCAGUGGCAUCGUUACCACGACCACGUUUUGGAGUAGGUUGCAAUGACUCCUCACGCCCAGGUGGAGUAACAAUUAACGUUAAUGUCUUCUCAAUGGGAUCAAAACGGAUUUCACCCUGUAAGGAAGAAGAAAAAAAAAAAAAAAAAAAAUAUUUAAAUAAAAAAUGUGUCUUUUUCUUACAUGUAUAUAUUUUCUUAUACUAAACUGAGGUAAGCACUGAGACUUACUUCAAAAUUACGAGUUUUCAAAAGAGAUUGAAAAACAUGGUGUGUCCUAGAUUCAAUGCUUUUCCGGAAUCUGGAGAUAAACUCCUUGCGUUGCUUGCUCAUUUGAUUCAUUUUCUAUAAAUACCAAAAGCAUUUGUGUAAAGGUUUUAAACGGCCACUGAUAUCACAUACCUUUAAUGAGCCCUGUGAACAUGUGAUCUCUGAGCAUGCCCGUUCGUAGUCUACUUUCCGCCGUCGAUACUCAUUCAAAACAUAUUCUCGAGAUCCAUAUUCCUUUUCUUGUGCUGCUAUUUGUUCUUUCAGUUGUCGCAAUUCAGAAUUAAGGUUCUUCAACGACCUAAUAAAAAAUUUUAUUUUA